rnacentral:rRNA from 1 species
CCUACGGGUGGCAGCAGUGGGGAAUAUUGGACAAUGGGGGGAACCCUGAUCCAGCCAUGCCGCGUGUGUGAAGAAGGCCCUCGGGUUGUAAAGCACUUUCAGUGAGGAAGAACGCCUGGUGGUUAAUACCCAUCAGGAAAGACAUCUCUCACAGAAGAAGCACCGGCUAACUCCGUGCCAACAGCCGCGGUAAUACGGAGGGUGCGAGCGUUAAUCGGAAUUACUGGGCGUAAAGCGCGCGUAGGUGGCUUGAUAAGCCGGUUGUGAAAGCCCCGGGCUCAACCUGGGAACGGCAUCCGGAACUGUCAAGCUAGAGUGCAGGAGAGGAAGGUAGAAUUCCCGGUGUAGCGGUGAAAUGCGUAGAGAUCGGGAGGAAUACCAGUGGCGAAGGCGGCCUUCUGGACUGACACUGACACUGAGGUGCGAAAGCGUGGGUAGCAAACAGGAUUAGAUACCCUAGUAGUC